rnacentral:rRNA from 1 species
AUUGAACGCUGGCGGCAGGCUUAACACAUGCAAGUCGAACGAGUGGCGAACGGGUGAGUAACGCAUCGGAACGUACCGAGUAAUGGGGGAUAACUGUCCGAAAGGACAGCUAAUACCGCAUAUUAUUCGAGCGGCCGAUGUCUGAUUAGCUGGUUGGCGGGGUAAAGGCCCACCUAGGCGACGAUCCCUAGCUGGUCUGAGAGGAUGACCAGCCACACUGGAACUGAGACACGGUCCAGACUCCUACGGGAGGCAGCAGUGGGGAAUAUUGCACAAUGGGCGCAAGCCUGAUGCAGCCAUGCCGCGUGUGUGAAGAAGGCCUUCGGGUUGUAAAGCACUUUCAGCGGGGAGGCGUUACCCGCAGAAGAAGCACCGGCUAACUCCGUGCCAGCAGCCGCGGUAAUUC